CCAUUCACAUGCAUGUUGACACCUGUGCUCGAACCUCAGAUCUCUUGAUCUCGGGCCGGUGUCCUUAACCGCGGAGCCACUGAACACUGCAUGUUUGAACCAAUUCUCCGGUAGCAUGAGACAGAAGUGCACCCGUUCUUUCGAAACGCCCUCGCAGCACUUUGACGUCAGCACGUCGCACGGGCGGAGUCAGAUUGCACAACAACCUUGGAGGUGGCGAAGUGUACACAGCGUUCACGUCUUCGUUGAACCAAGAGAAUGAACGUCAAAUUCAAAUGCCCAGACUCACUGACCGUUGGUGCUUGGUCUUUGGGGGCAGGGGUGGAUUCGUACACAGGAUUACUGAUGUUCGGGCUCGGUUCUGAUGGGUUAACCUCAACUCCUUCAUCCUCCUAAAAAGAAAUUGUAUCCCACAAAUCCGGCCGCUGCGAUUAGGAUGAUGAGCACCAGGACACCAAUGACCAUUCCUGCCUUAUGAGCCGGGUGGAGGGUUGGAGGGGGAAGCGGAGGAGCU